GAUGAAGAACGUAGCAAAAUGCGAUAAGUAAUGUGAAUUGCAGAAUUCAGUGAAUCAUCGAAUCUUUGAACGCACAUUGCGCCCGCCAGUAUUCUGGCGGGCAUGCCUGUUCGAGCGUCAUUUCAACCCUCAAGCCCUCGGGUUUGGUGUUGGGGAUCGGCGAGCCUUUCUGGCAAGCCGGCCCCGAAAUCUAGUGGCGGUCUCGCUGCAGCCUCCAUUGCGUAGUAGUAAAACCCUCGCAACUGGAACGCGGCGCGGCCUAGCCGUUAAACCCCCAACUUCUGAAUGUUGACCUCGGAUCAGGUAGGAAUACCCGCUGAACUUAAGCAUAUCAAUAAGCGGAGGA
rnacentral:misc_RNA from 1 species